rnacentral:rRNA from 1 species
AUUGAACGCUGGCGGCAUGCCUUACACAUGCAAGUCGAACGGCAGCACGGGAGCAAUCCUGGUGGCGAGUGGCGAACGGGUGAGUAAUAUAUCGGAACGUGCCCAGUCGUGGGGGAUAACGUAGCGAAAGCUACGCUAAUACCGCAUACGAUCUAUGGAUGAAAGCGGGGGAUCGCAAGACCUCGCGCGAUUGGAGCGGCCGAUAUCAGAUUAGGUAGUUGGUGGGGUAAAGGCCCACCAAGCCUGCGAUCUGUAGCUGGUCUGAGAGGACGACAAGCCACACUGUGACGGAGACACGGCCCAGAAUCCUACGGGAGGCAGCAGUGGGGAAUUUUGGACAAUGGGCGCAAGCCUGAUCCAGCAAUGCCGCGUGCAGGACGAAUGCCUUCGGGUUGUACACUGCUUUUGUACGGAGCGAAAAGGCUCUCUCUAAUACAGGGGGCACAUGACGGUACCGUAAGAAUAAGCACCGGCUAACUACGUGCCAGCAGCCGCGGUAAUAC